UUCUUAUGUAAUUUUUGUAAGUUAUGAGUGUGGUUUGCGUCCUGGUCCACGUUUAUCUUCUAUUACGAGCUGUAGAAACUAGUAAUGAGUUCCGUGUGCGUCCUGGUCCACGUUUACUUUCUAUUACGAGCUGUAGAAACUCAUACGUAAUGCAUCCUAUUAUAUUACUAUGAUGUUGUAGUUUCUACUGUUUCAUCAUUUUAAUGUUUUUUCAUAUUUUAUGUUUUACUGUUGCGAUUUUACCUUAAAGUUCUGAAAUCUACAUAAUAGCGUAUUUGUCGAUAAAUGCUUGUUUGCUUCAAGCCUGUGCAUAUUCUUAAGUUAUGAGUGUGGUUUGCGUCCUGGUCCACGUUUAUCUUCUAUUACGAGCUGUAGAAACUAGUAAUGAGUUCCGUUUGCGUCCUGGUCCACGUUUACCUUCUAUUAUGAGUUGUAGAAACAUCCUAUUGUAUAACUAUGAUUUUGUAGUUUCCGCUUUUCUACCGGUAAAUGCUGUUUGUGUUUCAAGCCCUCAUGUGUGUAUAUUUAGUUAUGAGUUGCGUGUGCCUCCUGGUCCACGUUUAUUACGAGUUGUAGAAAGGCGUACGUAAUGCAUCCUAUUAUUAUAGAAUAAUGAUCUUGUAGUUUCUGCUUUUUCAUCAUUUUAAUGUUUUACUGCUGCGAUUUUACCUUAAAGACCUGAAAUCUACAUAAUAGCCGGUAAAUCAUUUUUUUCAAACCUUCAUGUGUGUAUAUUCUUAAGUUAUGAGCGUCGUUUGCAUCCUGGUCCACGUUUACCUUCUAUUACGAGCUGUAGAAACUCGUACGUAAUGCAUCCUUAAAAUCUUUUUAAAAUUUCCCCAGAAUCUGGGGAAAAUUGAUUUUCUAUCUUACGCUAAUACACAGGCUCUUAUGGGAGGCGCUGUUGCCAGAUGUUGUGAAAGGCUCAGUUUUGCAGUAGAUCUGGGGAAAUUUUAUUUUUGUGUGCUCGUUCCUGUAUAGCCCUUAUACUGUGAUUAUGUAGUUUCUGUAUGUUUACCAGUUUAAUGUUUUGUAAUAUUUUAUAUUUUACUGUUACAAUUUUACCUCAGCGUAAUGCAUCCUAUUAUAUUACUAUGAUGUUGUAGUUUCUACUGUUUCAUCAUUUUAAUGUUUUUUCAUAUUUUAUGUUUUACUGUUGCGAUUUUACCUUAAAGUUCUGAAAUCUACAUAAUAGCGUAUUUGUCGAUAAAUGCUUGUUUGCUUCAAGCCUGUGCAUAUUCUUAAGUUAUGAGUGUGGUGUGCGUCCUGGUCCACGUUUAUCUUCUAUUACGAGCUGUAGAAACUAGUAAUGAGUUCCGUUUGCGUCCUGGUCCACGUUUACCUUCUAUUAUGAGUUGUAGAAACAUCCUAUUGUAUAACUAUGAUUUUGUAGUUUCCGCUUUUCUACCGGUAAAUGCUGUUUGUGUUUCAAACCCUCAUGUGUGUAUAUUUAGUUAUGAGUUGCGUGUGCCUCCUGGUCCACGUUUAUUACGAGUUGUAGAAAGGCGUACGUAAUGCAUCCUAUUAUUAUAUAAUAAUGAUCUUGUAGUUUCUGCUUUUUCAUCAUUUUAAUGUUUUACUACUGCGAUUUUACCUUAAAGACCUGAAAUCUACAUAAUAGUGUAUGUGCCGGUAAAUCAUUUUUUUCAAACCUUCAUGUGUGUAUAUUCUUAAGUUAUGAGCGUCGUUUGCAUCCUGGUCCACGUUUACCUUCUAUUACGAGCUGUAGAAACUCGUACGUAAUGCAUCCUUAAAAUCUUUUUAAAAUUUCCCCAGAAUCUGGGGAAAAUUGAUUUUCUAUCUUACGCUAAUACACAGGCUCUUAUGGGAGGCGCUGUUGCCCGAUGUUGUGAAAGGCUCAGUUUUGCAGUAGAUCUGGGGAAAUUUUAUUUUUGUGUGCUCGUUCCUGUAUAGCCCUUAUACUGUGAUUAUGUAGUUUCUGUAUGUUUACCAGUUUAAUGUUUUGUAAUAUUUUAUAUUUUACUGUUACAAUUUUACCUCAGUUUUAGUUUUUUAUCAUUUCAAUGUCAUCUUUUAUGAUUUACUGUUGCAAUUUUCCUCAGACCUGCAAGAGACAGCGUAGCGUGGUAUUCGUUGCUAUUCGUGUGUACAUUCUUAAGUUAUGACUUUCGUGUGUAUCCUAGUCCACGUUUACCGGCUAUUAUGAGUUGUUACAACUCGUAUGUAAUGUAUCCUAUUAUAUAGACAUGAUUUUGUAGCCGUAGCUUUUUAUUACGUCAAUGUCUUUUUUCAUAUUUUCACUGUUGCAAUUUUAUUAUAAUUUACUUCAAAAUCAUGUAAUUUUUAAUAAUAGAAUCUGCAAUGUAGCAAAUGAACUUACAUUCGCAAUUAUUUCAGAUGGAUCUAAACAAACUAAACAAAGUUUCUGUUGUUAAGAAAGAAGACAAACCGAUUACAAAACUACAGCAACUGGAAGUUGACAAACCAUAUAAAAUAAUAAACAGUAAAAUCGUCAACACUGCAUUUGGUCAAUCGGUGCUUCUAGAAUUAGAGGAAAGUGUGGUGUUCCUACCGAAGCGGGUUACCGAGGACUACGCCCCCUAUAUAGAUCAGUUGAGGACAGAAAAGUACGCUGUCGUAUUCAGAGGCCUGGUGAGCACGUCGAGCAAGCUAAAUCCUGCAGCGUCAUUCGAAAUAAUUGAAAUUUAAAAAACUAUGUGGAAGAUGGAAAGUCUACAGAAUUUAUGCAUAAGCUCUAUUAUCGAAAACAUACAUGAAAUUUCAAAAUUUAUUAGUAAAUCGCCUUUACCAUGGGUAUUAACGGAGGAAAUAGUUCAAAAAUUUAGUAAAAUUAAAUGGAUGCAAAUUAAAACUAAUCCCGUUCCUUAUGAACAUUUUAAAGUUUGUGACUUUGAGAAUCAUGAUCUAGAAUUGAAUAUUUCACCUGAACUUCGUCAGGCAAUUAUAGAGUGUCAGGAUUUUGAAACUUUUGCACUUAAUGACUACUAUUGCUUAUGGUUUAGGUAUUAUCAAAUACCAAAAUAUAAUUUGCUACUCUGUCGACCAUGUUACAGGGUAUUUAAAAUAAUUUUCUCUGAAAAACAAAAAUGUCUAAAAGCUAAAUCUGAUAAUUUUCAUGUUAGUUGUUUAGCUUCAGACUUACAUUUGAUAUUUAGAAAAAAAUCAUCCUGGUGUCAAAAUGGUUUUUGUGAGGUACUCUUUGAACUAAAGGAUAGAUAUGAUUGUGAGGAGGACUUACACAGGAAUCGUAAUAAAAAAGUAAGAUUCUCAGAUAUUUAAGAUGCUAAUAAAAUUUAAACCUUUUGGUAAAGACGAUCUGUAUAUUUGUAUCAUUUUCGGUAAACAUAUUUUGUACGUUUAUACCUGUAAAAUGUAAAAAAACUUUCUUGUAAAGUAAUUACUUACCUUUUAGUUGUAUUGAUCAUAAUCACAAAACGUUACUUCGAUUAAACGAAUACGAUUUGCGAUUACGAUUAUCGAUUACUAAUAACGAAUAAAAGACUUUCUUGUAAAA